AUGGAGUAUUCAGAUAUAGUAAAGUAUCAUGGAGUUCCUCAAGAUGUUAUCAAGUGCAUGCUAUUCACAUUCUCUCUCCGAGAUGAUGCUCGUGCUUGGUAUCGAUCCUUGCCAUCAAGAUCAUUCAGCUCGAAUGAGAUAUCACGAGCUUUCUUGGAUAAAUAUUUCCCACUACACAAGCAGUCCACAAUUCAAGAUGAGAUCUUCAGCUUCGUUCAGCGUGAAGGCAAGAGCUUGUAUGAUGCUUGGGAGAGGUACAAAGCCUUAUUCAGGAGAUGUCCUAACCAUGGGCUCGAGAGAUGGUUAGAGCUGCAGCUAUUCUAUAGAGGAUUGGCUUCGGACACUCAAUCUUACGUUGAUAUGGCAGCGGGUGGAGCUAUUACAAACAAGACACUUGAUGAUGCUUUUCUGCUGAUUGAGAACAUAGCCUUCCACCAACUUCAGUGGUACAAUGAGAAGCCCACCUCUGGCCCAGUUGCUUGCUUGCAACAAAUCACUUCAUCUCAGCAAGAAUCUCUUACAAAAAAGCCGGAACCAGUUUCUCCGUGUGACAAGAUUGAGCUUUCAUGGAUUAUCUUUGAUGAUGAUGACACCAUCCUAGUUGACACACACACUUCAGAUCAUAUGGAUACUAGCAUUCUAGAUUCAGUUUUGCUUUGUGAUGAUUCUUGUGUGGAUGAACCAGAGCUACAGUUAGUUACUUUUGAUAUUGAGGAGAUACCUUUAGUUGAUAUUGAUCAUGUGCUGCUAGAGCCAGAUAUGGAAAAGUUCACCUUUGAUGAUGUUAGCCACAUCGAUUCUUCAACGCUUGAGCCUGAGAUGGAAAUCUUCAUUGUUGAUUAUGAUGAGGUCACUUCAGAUGUCAAGGAGCAAAGCCCUACUAUUUCACCUGUCGAUACGAGCCCGGUGGAAGUUUCUACUACCAUGCCUUCCAUGGUAUAUUCAGUUGAGGUAGUCAUAAAACUUCUCCAAGGCCAUUUCAGGUAUUAUGUCAGCUUUCUGGAUAAGUUAUGUCAUAUCGCUGAUAUUGCCUAUGCACCCUGUGACUUGUUGUUGAUACAUGUUCCUGAUUUGCUCAAUAGAUAUACUUAUAUGAUAGGGUACUCUAUCAAUGACUUAGAGGGAAUUCUCUCUAUCACUUGUAUUGGCUUGGUUGUUGAGUGUUCUUUUAGGUUGAUGCUUGUGCACCAUUUACUGCAAGUUGACCGAGUUCGAGACGACAUUCCUUGGGACCCUGGUGGAUCCUGA
rnacentral:rRNA from 1 species